GUGUACACAGUGCCUCAGCCCUCAGUUCCAAACUGUCAGAACUCCUGCAUUACACAGCAUAGUGUGAUUGUAUUCAAGGCAUCCGUUUUUCUUUAAGAAUGUUUGCGUCCAUCUUUGUGGUCUUACUGGGGUUGUGCUACUGUAGCAAGGCGAGCAGUCAGUCAUUUCUGGGUGUUCCUCGACUAUUUGGCCCAUCUGAGGCUUUGGUGAAAGAUGUUGUAGAGUUUCAUUGUCAACUGCUGACCUACCCAAAUAAUGAAUCCAUCCUGCUGCAGUUAUUCAAAGAGGGUAACCAUGACAAGUUGCUGGGUGAAUACACCUCCCUGGCUGGGGAGGUUGCAUCCUUCCCCAUUAUAAUCAAACCUUACCACGAGGGGAACCUGGAGUGUGUGGCCAAAGCACAGAACAACUCAAACAUAGAGCCGACUGUCAGCAACGUACACUACCUGAAGGUUGUUGAGCCAGUGAAAGGCCCAGAGAUUGAUGUCCGCUCUGGUCCAGUGGAUUUCUUUGAGGGGGAGACACUGCAGAUGCACUGCAAGCUGACUGCUGGAAAUCAUGUCUCUUACAAGUGGCUGCUGAACGGCCAGCUCGUCUCUUGGGCUCCUCUCACCUAUGACCAUCUCUUGAUCAAUAGAACUACCUCUAAAGACAGCGGCGCCUACAUGUGCAUCGCCACCAACCGCUUCAACGAAACAGAGGUCUUCACCGCCAACAGCUCUGAAGUUGUUGUCACGGUCAAAGACCUGGUGUCAAACCCUGACAUCGCCUUCACGGUGUUGAAGGAGGAUUCCCACAUCUACUCUGCCAUGGUCACCUGUCAGUCAACAAAAGGGACUCCGCCUGUCACCUUUUCACUUUACAACGGGACAGAAUUGGUUGCCAGCGCAACAACUGAAGAGAGAAAUGCCACAUUCAAAGUUGCAUUGGUCUUGGGCCAGCACUUGGGAAGGCUCCAGUGCCAGGCAAACAAUGGAAAGUGGGUCGCACGCAGUCAGUGGAUUCCCCUAGAAGUUGUCCCGGUUGGUGGGCCUGUGACGAUGCAUUCAGACUCUGACAUUGGGGACAACUAUGCUGUGAUUGGCCUGAGGUUCUACUGCAAGGCGGCCAAGGGAUCUCUCCCACGGUACCAGUGGUUCCUCAACAAAACCCUUCUACAUGACCGAGGAAGCUUCUACUAUGUGGUCAACCAGCCUCCAGAACAGUCUGUACUGCUGCUGUCUGUAGGGAGGAGCAGCACUGGGAUGUACCACUGUGAAGUGUCAGACAGCUUUGACAACACCACCGCCAUCAGCAGCAAAAGGCGCUACUUGGAUAAAGACGUGCUGAAUCGUCUCCCCGUCCUGGUGGUGGCGAUUGUCUUCGGAUGUUUCACAGUCGUGGUUCUCCUGGUCUCCAUCUGUUGUGGGAUUGGAGUGGUGUUCAGGCAAAGGCAGUAUGGAGAGAAGUCUCUCUUGACUGACAGUAAACAUGUGGACGUGUGGAGAGAAGGGGCAAGGCUUUGUGCUGGGGAUGUGCUUAUGUGGUGGAUUGAUUGGACCCACUGGACCAACAGGUCAUAUCUUUAACCUCUAUUGGUGACCAAGGAACUGAAGCAACAACUGAUCUCCGAUGCAGCUCACAGUCACAGUUUUACAACGACAGCAGACGCCCAGCUGGCUCGAUCUGGAAAUAUCUUGCGCCGUACGUUGUUGUCUCACAGCUCUGUCCUCUCAGUGAGCAGUUCAACAUGUGAAUGUGGAGCAAGAAAAACAGUAAAAAGUUGGGCUUGGAGAUGGACAGCAUGGUGGUUGCGUAUGAAGGCGAGCUGGAUUUGUCAGAGUACCAUGAGGAUGCUGAUGUGGUGAAGACAGCCAGAGGUGGCGAAUUUGAUCAG